GACGAACGCUGGCGGCGUGCUUAACACAUGCAAGUCGAACGGAAAGGCCUGCUUUCCCUUGUGGAUUGCGGGUAGUCGAGUGGCGAACGGGUGAGUAACACGUGAGUGAUCUGCCCCCAACUUGGGUAUAAGCCUGGGAAACUGGGUCUAAUUCCCGAUAGGACUGCAGGGUGGUGCCUGUGGUGGAAAACGAUUUUCUAGUGGUUGGGGAUGAGCUCGCGGCCUAUCAGCUUGUUGGUGGGGUAAUGGCCUACCAAGGCGGCGACGGGUAGCCGGCCUGAGAGGGUGGACGGCCACAUUGGGACUGAGAUACGGCCCAGACUCCUACGGGAGGCAGCAGUGGGGAAUAUUGCACAAUGGGCGGAAGCCUGAUGCAGCGACGCCGCGUGGGGGAUGACGGCCUUCGGGUUGUAAACUCCUUUCGACCGCGAGGAAGCCACCUGGUUGGAAGGGUGGUGACGGUAGUGGUAGAAGAAGCACCGGCUAACUACGUG
rnacentral:rRNA from 1 species